rnacentral:rRNA from 1 species
CCUACGGGGGGCUGCAGUGGGGAAUUUUAGAUAAUGGAGGGAACUCUGAUCUAGCGACGCCGCGUGCAGGAAGAAGGUCUUCGGAUUGUAAACUGCUGUGGUAAGGGAAAAAUGCUAUGUAGAGUGGAAAGCUACAUAGAGGGAUGGUACCUUACUAGAAAGCCCCGGCUAACUACGUGCCAGCAGCCGCGGUAAUACGUAGGGGGCGAGCGUUACCCGGAAUCACUGGGCGUAAAGGGAGCGUAGGUGGCCUAACAUGUCAACUGUGAAAACCCGGAGCUCAACUCCGGACUUGCAGUUGAAACUGGUAGGCUUGAGGACGGUAGAGGAAGACGGAACUGCCAGUGUAGGGGUAAAAUCCUUAGAUAUUGGCAGGAACGCCGGUGACGAAGGUGGUUUUCUGGGCCGGUUCUGACACUGAUGCUCGAAAGCCAGGGGAGCGAACGGGCUUAGAUACCCCAGUAGUC